rnacentral:rRNA from 1 species
GACGAACGCUGGCGGCGUGCUUAACACAUGCAAGUCGAGCGGUAAGGCCCUUUCGGGGGUACACGAGCGGCGAACGGGUGAGCAACACGUGGGUGACCUGCCCUCAGCUCUGGGAUAAGCCUGGGAAACCGGGUCUAAUACUGGAUAUGACUCCAUGACGCAUGUUGUGGGGUGGAAAGCCUUGUGCGGCUGAGGAUGGGCCCGCGGCCUAUCAGCUUGUUGGUGGGGNGAUGGCCUACCAAGGCGACGACGGGUAGCCGGCCUGAGAGGGCGACCGGCCACACUGGGACUGAGACACGGCCCAGACUCCUACGGGAGGCAGCAGUGGGGAAUCUUGCGCAAUGGGCGAAAGCCUGACGCAGCGACGCCGCGUGAGGGAUGACGGCCUCGGUGU